rnacentral:rRNA from 1 species
GACGAACGCUGGCGGCGUGCCUAACACAUGCAAGUCGAACGGGGCUCUUUGGAUCGAGACUUCGGUCAAGUGAAUCUGAGCUUAGUGGCGGACGGGUGAGUAACGCGUGAGCAACCUGCCUUUCAGAGGGGGACAACAGUUGGAAACGACUGCUAAUACCGCAUAACGUGUCGAGGAGGCAUCUCCUUGACACCAAAGAUUUAUCGCUGAAAGAUGGGCUCGCGUCUGAUUAGCUAGUUGGUGGGGUAACGGCUCACCAAGGCGACGAUCAGUAGCCGGUCUGAGAGGAUGAACGGCCACAUUGGGACUGAGAUACGGCCCAG